rnacentral:rRNA from 1 species
GUGAUGAAUUUUCCGCAAUGGGCGAAAGCCUGACGGAGCAAUGCCGCGUGAAGGAUGAAGGCCUAUGGGUUGUAAACUUCUUUUCUCAGAAAAGAAUUAUGACGGUAUCUGAGGAAUAAGCAUCUGCUAACUCUGUGCCAGCAGCCGCGGUAAGACAGAGGAUGCAAGCGUUAUCCGGAAUGAUUGGGCGUCAAGCGUCUGUAGGUUGUUUAAAAAGUAUUCUGUCAAAGAUUAGGGCUUAACCCUAGAUAGGCAGAAUAAACUUUUAAGCUAGAGUUUGGUAGAGGCAGAGGGAAUUCCCGGUGGAGCGGUGAAAUGCGUAGAUAUCGGGAGGAACACCAAAGGCGAAGGCACUCUGCUGGGCCAAUACUAACACUGAGAGACGAAAGCGAGGGGAGCAAAUGGGAUUAGAUACCCUUGUAGUCC